rnacentral:rRNA from 1 species
UAUGGCUGUCGUCAGCUCGUGUCGUGAGAUGUUGGGUUAAGUCCCGCAACGAGCGCAACCCUCGUUCCAUGUUGCCAGCGCGUAAUGGCGGGGACUCAUGGGAGACUGCCGGGGUCAACUCGGAGGAAGGUGGGGACGACGUCAAAUCAUCAUGCCCCUUAUGUCUUGGGCUUCACGCAUGCUACAAUGGCCGGUACAAAGGGUUGCGAUACUGUGAGGUGGAGCUAAUCCCAAAAAGCCGGUCUCAGUUCGGAUUGGGGUCUGCAACUCGACCCCAUGAAGUCGGAGUCGCUAGUAAUCGCAGAUCAGCAACGCUGCGGUGAAUACGUUCCCGGGCCUUGUACACACCGCCCA